UGUUUCCAUGGGUAGUGUUAUGAGCCCAGUGAUAGUUUGACAAGGCUUUCAUAGAGGUUGUUGUGUGGGUGUUCCAUGGGUAGUGUUAUGAGCCCAGUGCCCUUUCUUUCUCAAAAUAAGACUUGAAAAAUUAGCAUGCUGGGCACUAUUACGAACUUGUGAUGAUGGUGGUGAGACUGACCCUGACUGUGUACCCCGCAGGAGAGGCUGAAGGCGCAGUGCAAGGCUGUGAUGAUGCCCUCAAGAGUGGAUUCUGUCCGGGCAGGCAGCGCACCUCAGGCCACACCUCAAGAACGUCAGGUAUUCGGCGGAGUACAAGUUGCAGGAACAGCGCACUGACGGAACCCUUGUAGCUGUACCGUGCUCUCUACCAGACAACACCACCACCACCACAAGGAAGAGGAAGAAAAAGAAGAGCUUGGCGUGUGUGUCUCAGGCUGGGAAGGGGGAAAGCAAUUUGUCACACUGGGAAGAAACACACAAUAGCCUUCGGAAUGGUGUUGUCAGUGAGGGUUCAACCACAAAGAGAAGGUCAGGAGAGGUGUGUGUGUCAGGCUGGGGAGGAAGAGGAAGGAACUGUACAGAGGAAUCACUCAAUAGCCCUCAGAAUGGUGGGGUCAGUGAGGGUUCAAGCACAAAGAGAAGGUCAGGAGAGGUGUGUGUGUGUCAGGCUGGGGAGGAAGAUGAAGGAACUGUACAGAGGAAU